ACUGUAGCAUAUCUGACUGGAACUCAUCCAGAAAAACCUGUGAUCUACAUGAUCUCCUAUAUUGUACAUGUUAUAUACAGACAACAAUGUGAACUACUCGAUCUCCUGUCGCCUGUAAAGUGCAUGUUUCAUAUAAAGACAACCAUGUGAUCUGCUUGAACUACUGUCCUCCUGUGAUUUCCUGGUCAACAUUCUACCGUCUACACCUGAAACUCGGGGUCUUCUGAGUGGAGACGUGCUUUCCCACUGUAGGAAGAAGCCUCUGUUCAUCAACGUUGGACGCGGAGACAUAAUUGACGAUGAGAGUCUCCUUUCAGCACUCAGAGGAGGAUGGCUAUCGGGGGCUGUGCUGGACAUCUUUACGGAGGAGCCCUUGUCUCGAGAUAGUCCUCUGUGGGGAGAGAGGGACGUGGUGAUCACACCCCACGUAUCUAACCAAAGUGAUUGUAUGGACUCAUACAAAAAGCUGGCGUCCAUGUUUUUGGCCAACUAUAAUCGGUACCUGAACGGACAAGCACUGGAGAAUGUUGUAAACAUUGACAGGGGAUACUGAACGAUAUGUCUACUGAAGCACUCG